rnacentral:tRNA from 1 species
UCCCUGGUGGCUCAGAUGGUAAAGUGUCUGCCUGUAAUGCUGGAGACCUGGGUUCGAUCCCUGGGUUGGGAA